GACGCAACCGAGCAGCGGUGACUAAGAGCUGGGAGUUGAGGUGAUGCGGGACCUGCCUUUCAAUCCGGCUGCCUACGUAAGCUGAGGAGAACGGGUGAGCAUGAUCACUGCUUCUGGUUGUGCAGACUGAGCUGUGCUCCAGGUGUCCAGACAAGGAGGAAACUCUUCAGCGGGAAGAAAACCAGCGCCAUGAGACAUUUCGAAGUCUUGAAUCUUACAGGAGCCACAGGCCAAGAUAUCAAAUUUUAAAAGAAGCUUUUUGACCUCAAUGAUCUGUGUUUUAUUUACUCCUCUUGACAAGAUUAUGAUACUUCCUAACUUUUUCAACAACA